UAUUCAAGAUUACAAAGACAAUGUUUAUCCUUCUUAAGUCAAACUGUUCAAACAUUCAAAAUCAUUUGCAUAUAAUCAAUUAAUAUUCUUACGACAAGAAAUGUUUAUGUAUUCCUUAGAGUAAUUCCUGUGAGACUACUAUUCAGCAAGGCUUUGGAGAUGAUUAAACAUAAAUUGUAUUAUAUAAAAAUGUUUGAAUAGAAGUAAAAAAAAAAAAGA
rnacentral:miRNA from 1 species